UACGUAGGGGGCGAGCGUUGUCCGGAAUUACUGGGCGUAAAGGGUGCGUAGGCGGCUUAGUAAGUUAGAAGUGUAAUACCCAGAGCUUAACUCGGGUGCUGCUUCUAAAACUAUUAGGAUUGAGUGCAGAAGAGGAGAGUGGAAUUCCUAGUGUAGCGGUGGAAUGCGUAGAUAUUAGGAAGAACAUCAGUGGCGAAGGCGACUCUCUGGUCUGUAACUGACGCUGAGGCACGAAGGCGUGGGUAGCAAACAGGAUUAGAUACCCUGGUAGUCCACGCAGUAAACGAUGGAUACUAGGUACAGGAGGUAUUGACUCCUUCUGUGUCGAAGCUAACGCAUUAAGUAUCCCGCCUGGGGAGUACGGCCGCAAGGUUGAA
rnacentral:rRNA from 1 species